rnacentral:rRNA from 1 species
AACGAACGCUGGCGGCAUGCCUAACACAUGCAAGUCGAACGAGACCUUCGGGUCUAUUGGCGCACGGGUGCGUAACGCGUGGGAACCUGCCCUUAGGUUCGGAAUAACUCCCCGAAAGGGGUGCUAAUACCGGAUAAUGUCUUCGGACCAAAGAUUUAUCGCCUUUGGAUGGGCCCGCGUUGGAUUAGCUAGUUGGUAGGGUAAAAGCCUACCAAGGCGACGAUCCAUAGCUGGUCUGAGAGGAUGAUCAGCCACACUGGGACUGAGACACGGCCCAGACUCCUACGGGAGGCAGCAGUGGGGAAUAUUGGACAAUGGGCGAAAGCCUGAUCCAGCAAUGCCGCGUGAGUGAUGAAGGCCGUAGGGUUGUAAAGCUCUUUUACCCGGGAUGAUAAUGACAGUACCGGGAGAAUAAGCUCCGGCUAACUCCGUG